ensembl:lncRNA
GAAAAUGAAGGAAAGGAUGAACAGUGGAGAUCAAUAUGCUUGGAUUUGUCAACAAGCAGUGCAUGAGGGAAGAGCAAAACAAAUUUCUGUCAGACACAAAUCAAUCUUCAGUGGAUCAAAGGUUUCCUUCAGUUUUCUCAGGGUCUAAGGUUACGCCAGAUAGACAUGAUGGAUGACAGGUCUGUGUCACAGCAGUUGAAAGGAUGAGAAGGCGUACAGGCCAGAUGAUUGGUGGAAGAAGGGAGUUCGUUGUGAUCGACGGAAGUCAUUUUCAACACAAAAGAAAGAGGAAGAAUGGCUGGUGGGUGGAAAAGAAAAAAGUGGGUCUUUGGGAUGUUAGGUGUGAGGCAUCAUCAGCAGCAAAGAUCAGGAAAACCCAUUCUACGUCUUCUGGAGAGAAGGUCUCGAAGACAUCAAGUCCCCUUGAUUGCUCGUCAUGUAAGGCCUGGGUCAUCAAUUAUCAGUGACGAAUUACUCCCUGCACUUGGGUACAAUCAUCACACUGUCAACCACAGCAGGUGGUAUGUAGAUCCCCACACUGGU